UACGGGGGGAGCAAGCGUUGUUCGGAUUUACUGGGCGUAAAGGGCGCGUAGGCGGCCACCGGCAAGUCGACUGUGAAAUCUCCGGGCUUAACCCGGAAAGGUCAGCCGAUACUGCGGGGCUAGAGUGCAGAAGGGGCAACUGGAAUUCUCGGUGGUAGCGGUGAAAUGCGUAGAUAUCUGGAGGAACACCGGUGGCGAAGGCGACGCCUUGGACCGGGCAUUGACGGCUGAGGCGCGAAAAGCCAGGGGAGCAAAGCGGGG
rnacentral:rRNA from 1 species